AGUAGGGUGGCUGAGGUCAAGCGAUAAACUGUAAAUUUAUUAACGAAUAUAUAUAUUCUCCUUCU
rnacentral:tRNA from 1 species